AUCACCAGGCCAGGCUAAUUUUUUUUUUUUUUUUUUUUUUUUUUUUUUGUAGUUAUGGGCUCUCACUAUGUUGCCUAGGCUUCAGUAUCUUUUCCAAAAGCAACAUGAAAGAAAUGUGACCCUAAAUCAAUUAGCUUUCUAGUGUGAUCUGUGCUGACAGCUAAGUGAUAACCGAGUUGGUUAGAGAAAACUGGAAAUACUUUCAAAGCCAUGUUUACUCCCUUCAUCCACCUGUGAGUCUUUGCCUUGGCUGUUUCCGACUUGGAAUGUCCUCGCAUUGAUCUUCCAAAUCACUGCCAGCUGAAAUCAGCCUCCUUCCUGACAUAUUCAGUAACUUCAGCUAAUUGCCAUCUCUCCUUCCUCUCUCAACAACCUGUACCACACUCACUGGAGCACUUUGCUUUGCAUCUUUAGUCGACCAGUUCAGAUGUUUACAACCUAGAAGGUAGGGACAGAGGCUUCUACCUGCCUGUACCCCCUCGGAGAGCCGACGAAUACAGAGCUGAGCACAAAAGAUGUUCAAAGGACAUUUAGUUAAAAAUGUCGCAUAUAGGCAGGUUUUUAGCGAGAUAGAGCAGGGGUAUGGCUGAGUCUACGCUUGGGAACUCAUUUUCUGACUCUUACCAUUUACGGACUAAAGCAGUUACUUGGGCCUCAAUUUCCUCAUCUACAACACGGGGAGAUGACCAGUACACAUCACAAUCGAUUGCUAUUGAAGAUUCAAUGACAGUGCAGAUAAGGAACCGAAUACAGGGUCCCCGCACCAUCCACACCACAUGGGCACGCCCACUUACGCCUGAGGACCGGGCUGGGGCGUCGCCUCCUUCGUGCAGCCUUCCUACACUGACAUCGCAGACCGCUCCCACCGCCCGGAUCCACGCCCAUUCGAGCCCCGCCAGAUCAGGGCUAAACGGCUGAGGCUGGCGGGCGAUGGAGAAAAGGACACACCAGAGGAAGCUGCGUCUGGAUCCCGCUCCACCUAGAUGUCCGCGGGCAGCCACACCUCCGGAACCCUCCGCCGGAAGCAGAUCAGCGCCGACCGGAAGUCCCACCCCCCUCGAAGGGACACGGAGGGGAAGGGACCCCGAGCAGCGCUUCCACCUAGACGACAGCUGUGACCUUGGCCAGGCCAGUGACCUAACUAGGGCCACCUCCACAUUGCUGCAAAGCCUCCAGCCUGCAAAGUAACAACUCGACUAAACUUGCCACUCUCUGGGAGCAAGAGUCUCAGGAUGCAAUCCCUCUGCUAAACCAUCAAGACAACGAGAACAAGUAGGGAUACACACCUGAACUUCAUCAUCCUUUCGGAUGGGCAUGGAUCGCACGUUGUACUUCUGUCUCAACUCUUUGGAAAGAGGGGAGGACAUAAUCUUCCUGCGAAUGUGGGAAGGUGCAUUGAAAUGCCUUUUGCGAUUCUUGCUUCGGUCGGAAGUCACAAAGGGAUUGAACU